UACGAAGGGGGCUAGCGUUGCUCGGAAUUACUGGGCGUAAAGGGUGCGUAGGUGGCCUGGUAAGUUUGAUGUGAAAGCUCAGGGCUUAACCCUGAAAUGGCAUUGAAUACUACUGUGCUGGAGGUUUGGAGGGGGGACUGGAAUUCUUGGUGUAGCAGUGAAAUGCGUAGAUAUCAAGAGGAACACCAGUGGCGAAGGCGAGUCCCUGGACAACACCUGACACUGAGGCACGAAAGCUAGGGGAGCAAACAGG
rnacentral:rRNA from 1 species